rnacentral:rRNA from 1 species
GAUGAACGCUAGCUACAGGCUUAACACAUGCAAGUCGAGGGGUAACGAGAGGAAAGCUUGCUUUCCUUGUCGACGACCGGCGCACGGGUGAGUAACGCGUAUCCAACCUGCCCCCAACUAGGGAAUAACCUUGCGAAAGUAAGACUAAUACCCUAUAAUUUCCUCAGAUGACAUCUGACGAGGAAUAAAGAUUUAUCGGUUGUGGAUGGGGAUGCGUCUGAUUAGCUUGUUGGCGGGGUAACGGCCCACCAAGGCAACGAUCAGUAGGGGUUCUGAGAGGAAGGUCCCCCACAUUGGAGCUGAGACACGGUCCAAACUCCUACGGGAGGCAGCAGUGAGGAAUAUUGGUCAAUGGGCGGAAGCCUGAACCAGCCAAGUAGCGUGCAGGAUGACGGCUCUAUGGGUUGUAAACUGCUUUUAUACAGGAAUAAAGUUAGCCACGUGUGGUUAUUUGUAGGUACUGUAUGAAUAAGGACCGGCUAAUUCCGUGCCAGCCGCCGCAGUAA